UGGGGAAUUUUGGACAAUGGGCGCAAGCCUGAUCCAGCUAUGCCGCGUGCAGGAAGAAGGCCUUCGGGUUGUAAACUGCUUUUGUCAGGGAAGAAAUCCUUGGGCUAAUACCCCGGAGGGAUGACGGUACCUGAAGAAUAAGCACCGGCUAACUACGUGCCAGCAGCCGCGGUAAUACGUAGGGUGCGAGCGUUAAUCGGAAUUACUGGGCGUAAAGCGUGCGCAGGCGGCUUUGCAAGACAGAUGUGAAAUCCCCGGGCUCAACCUGGGAACUGCAUUUGUGACUGCAAGGCUAGAGUGCGGCAGAGGGAGAUGGAAUUCCGCGUGUAGCAGUGAAAUGCGUAGAUAUGCGGAGGAACACCGAUGGCGAAGGCAAUCUCCUGGGCCUGCACUGACGCUCAUGCACGAAA
rnacentral:rRNA from 1 species